rnacentral:SRP_RNA from 1 species
GCUGGGCAUGGUGGCACGUGCCUGUAAUCCCAGCUACUCCUCAGGGGGCUGAGGCAGGAGGAUCACUUGAACCCGGGAGUUGGAGGUUGCAGUGAGCCAAGAUGGUGCCACUGCACUCCAGCCUGGGUGACAGAGUGAGACUCUGUCUCAA